rnacentral:rRNA from 1 species
AGUGAACGCUGGCGGUAUGCCUAAUACAUGCAAGUCGAACGGCAGCACAGUAAGAUCUUGCUCUUACGGGUGGCGAGUGGCGGACGGGUGAGGAAUACAUCGGCAUCUACUUUUUCGUGGGGGAUAACGUAGGGAAACUGACGCUAAUACCGCAUACGACCUACGGGUGAAAGCAGUGGAUCUUCGGACCUUUCGCGAUUGAAUGAGCCGAUGUCGGAUUAGCUAGUUGGCGGGGUAAAGGCCCACCAAGGCGACGAUCCGUAGCUGGUCUGAGAGGAUGAUCAGCCACACUGGAACUGAGACACGGUCCAGACUCCUACGGGAGGCAGCAGUGGGGAAUAUUGGACAAUGGGCGCAAGCCUGAUCCAGCCAUACCGCGUGAGUGAAGAAGGCCUUCGGAUUGUAAAGCCCUUUUGUUGGGAAAGAAAAGCAGCAGGUUAAUCCCCCGCUGUUCUGACGGUACCCAAAGAAUAAGCACCGGCUAACUUCGUG